UUAAUGAGAGUUUGAUCCUGGCUCAGGACGAACGCUGGCGGCGUGCCUAAUACAUGCAAGUAGAACGCUGAUGUUUGGUGUUUACACUAGACUGAUGAGUUGCGAACGGGUGAGUAACGCGUAGGUAACCUGCCUCAUAGCGGGGGAUAACUAUUGGAAACGAUAGCUAAUACCGCAUAAGAGUGAUUAACACAUGUUAGUUAUUUAAAAGGAGCAAUUGCUUCACUGUGAGAUGGACCUGCGUUGUAUUAGCUAGUUGGUGAGGUAAAGGCUCACCAAGGCGACGAUACAUAGCCGACCUGAGAGGGUGAUCGGCCACACUGGGACUGAGACACGGCCCAGACUCCUACGGGAGGCAGCAGUAGGGAAUCUUCGGCAAUGGACGGAAGUCUGACCGAGCAACGCCGCGUGAGUGAAGAAGGUUUUCGGAUCGUAAAGCUCUGUUGUUAGAGAAGAACGUUGGUAGGAGUGGAAAAUCUACCAAGUGACGGUAACUAACCAGAAAGGGACGGCUAACUACGUGCCA
rnacentral:rRNA from 1 species